GGCGAUUUCGCAUAGUGGUUAUUGCGGCGAUUUACUAUAUCUUGGCAUGUCGCUGUCCUCUGGACUCAUGGGUUCAAAUCCCAUAAUCGCCU